GUGCUUGCUUUGGCAGCAUGUAUAUUAAAAUUGGAACCAUAUGGAGAAGAUUAGCACGGUCCCUGUGUAAGGAUGACAUGCAAAUUUGUGAAGUGUUUCAUUUUAAA